AGCUUGCAAUCAGAGGUAGACAUGCUGUUUCUGGAGCUAGACACUAGCUUCCCCUAGAAAGACCUCCCCAAGGGCUUCACUGAAAGCCUGUGCUCAGCUGCCACCUCCAUCCUGGACAAACCUUGUGAAAGAGUGCUUGUUGUCAUAAGAAGUAGACUGACCAUGUUGAUGGUAGGAUCAUUUGCACCCUUUGUCCUGCUAAAUGUUCCAGCCCUUGUAGUGGUGGAGACAGCAGAACAAGGAGCACAGUGCCAAGUUGUUUGAUUUCCUGAUGAAAGAGCUGAGCUUAGAACCAGACAGGAUUAGAAUACGAUUUCUUCCCAUGGAACCCUGGCAAGUUGGCAUAAAAGGAACUGUUAUG